UUUUUGAAAAAAAAUGGCGGACAUCGUACCUUACGUUCAGCGACGACUGUUGCAGGCGAACGGAUUAUAUACGGGGAGAUCAUCUAUGUGGUGAAGCAUGUGACAGGAGCCAGUGCAGCUCAGGACUGUUGGACUGUUAGGGGAAGAACUCAGCUCUACCCUGUACCGUGCACCUCGGCUUGCUCGCUUGACACCGUUUUCUUUUGUAAUACUUUUUUUUUGCUUAGUUUACAGAAAUGGGGCCAUGUGUUUGAACAUGCAACUGUGGGCCAAGUUUCAAUUUUGCUGAAAAAGUUCUUAUAGUUCAGAUAAUUUUAGGAACUGAGAAAUGCAUCUGCUUUUGGCAAACAGAUGUGUAACUGUAGCUCUCCCACAUGAAGGACAAGUUGCUGAGGGUUUUGUUCCUCAGGUCUUCAGUGUUUUUGCUGAACGUUGCUGUCUCGGGUUUUAUAGUUGUGCUUCUACAGCUGAAUGGGGUGUCCAUGCUAAAGCAACAGGGUAGAGUCCAGCACAGAAUUAACAACCUUAUGUUUGAUAAAAUCUGUUCUUAAGAGUAAACCCAUACAAAGCUGGGUUACGUAUCAGGUUUGUCAGCAGAUGUCAGAAAAUAUCCUGCAUGGAUUUGGGGCAGAAACAGAUUAUGAUUGAUUGAGUUAGUGGGUCAUUCACUGAAAGGCAUUUUGUUGCCUUGUUUCUGACCUGUUUACUUUUAAGAAAUAUGAUUCUAAUAGACCUAAAUACCAUUAAUAAUGUCCUUAAGACUCUUAAAGAUCAAUAUAUUACUGUGGUCAUCAUUAAUAAUGUUCUUAAGACUCUUAAAAUCAGUAUAUUGCUGUGGUCAUCAUUAAUAAUGUUCUUAAGACUCUUAAAGAUCAGUACCUUGCUGUGGUCAUCAUUAAUAAUGUUCUUAAUACUCUUAAAGAUCAGUAUAUUAUUGUGGUUAACAUUUUGCUUCUCACUACUGCUGUGAGUAGUCAGCAACGUCACUGAAUUCUUCUUUUGCAUGUUCAUGCCCACCACUGCACUCCAACCAUGCCUGACACAUCGCACAGUGUUCUACGACUUAGAAUAUGUGUUUGCAGUGAAACCGUGUCUGUUCUGUGUGCACUUUCACCUAGAUUUCAUUUAAACUCCUGCCUGAAAUUUUGCAUUGUAUAUGUCUUCUUUAAUUGUUGUGACCUUCAUUCAUUUAACUUUUUACAUGAGGAACAAAAAAGCAUCUGUCUUAAAAGUAAUCAGGUCAGGAAAAGUAAACGUCAUGUUAUUUAUUCCAUCUGGUAACAUCUGAGCUUCAAUAAGCUGAAAGUCUUUGUAGGAAUGAGGUUACCACAUAUUUGCGCAUGUGUGAGAGUGCAUGUGCAUGAGUGAAUAGAGUGAGAGAGAAAGUUCCUCUGUUUGCAUGCAAGUCUGAUCUGCCAUUAUCUAGAAUGAAUACUGGACUAAAUGCAGGAAGUUCCAUUUUAACCACUCCCCUAUCAUUCUGCCUUUCUUUACAAAUACACAGACAUUUUUCUCUGGGUUUAAAGCACUUUUUAAUCUGGUCCUGGUCUCUCAUUGUUUAAUCUGCUCAAAUAACAUAGAAACCCACAUGGUAGAAUCUAGAUGACUGAAAGCUCAUAGCAUAUUUUCCCCCCAUAGAAAAAUCAAACCAAUUCUGUGAUAAUAUAGUAUUUACAGGAAUAUGCAUACAGUUUUCAUACAAAUUCUGUUUUACCUGAUUUGUUUUACAGGCACAGAAGACAGGGACUGCACAGACCUUUCAUAAGAACUAGUGCAUUUAUAUCCUUCCAACCAGCAAAGAACCUGAUACUUGUGGUAGGUGCGGGUGUGGCCAGCUGCGGAACCAAAGUGUGACUGUUCCGCCACUCUCCACCAGAGGGAGCACAGAGGAGACUCAGCACGACUCACAAUAGGAGAGAUGGGCUGUGGCUAUGAGGAGUGGCUCUUCAUGCUGGAGGUGCACUUCAAGACCAUUCCUUCAGGUCACCUGGCAGAGUGGAUGCUAUUGGAAUCUCACCCUGGGGAAUCAUGGAGAAUAAAGAUGAGAUCAUGAGGAAGAAGAUGUGGAUGUCCACAUGUGCGAUCCCAAGAUCAGCUGCUUCCAGUACACGCUCCACCAGCUGAUGGUGUAGGCAGUGUUGAAGAGGCACCAGAAGAGGGCGCUCCCCCUGUGGCAACAGGAUGAGGAGAUCAUGACCAAGGCUAUGACCCAGUCUCCCAGAGUGGACAAUAUUUUACAGGAUCUGGAUAAGAUGUCCAAGGAGUUUGGACAGUUAGCAUAUGAUCUAAAGCACAAUAAGCAGCUGGUCAUGAAUGAAGCUGGAGAACUGGAGUGAGCUGGAGUGACUACACCUGUCGCCCACACCUGCAGUCAAAUGCUCCUCAGGGACAUGAGUACAGGCAAGAGCAGUGGCUUCAAAGCACAUCACACACACCCUGUAACACACACAUACAAACAUAUAUGA